AGAGUUUGAUCCUGGCUCAGGACGAACGCUGGCGGCGUGCCUAAUACAUGCAAGUCGAGCGGAUGAGCAAUGAACUUUCGGGUUCGUUGCAAGUUAGCGGCGGACGGGUGAGUAACACGUAGGCAACCUACCUGCAAGACGGGGAUAACUUACGGAAACGUGAGCUAAUACCGGAUAGGCAAGUUCCUCGCAUGAGGGAG
rnacentral:rRNA from 1 species